rnacentral:rRNA from 1 species
GACGAACGCUGGCGGCGUGCCUAAUACAUGCAAGUCGAGCGAAUGGAAGGGAGCUUGCUCCCUGAAGUUAGCGGCGGACGGGUGAGUAACACGUGGGCAACCUGCCUGUAAGACUGGGAUAACUUCGGGAAACCGGAGCUAAUACCGGAUACGUUCUUUCCUCGCAUGAGGAAAGAUGGAAAGAUGGUUUCGGCUAUCACUUACAGAUGGGCCGGCGGCGCAUUAGCUAGUUGGUGGGGGAAUGGCCCACCAAGGCGACGAUGCGUAGCCGACCUGAGAGGGUGAUCGGCCACACUGGGACUGAGACACGGCCCAGACUCCUACGGGAGGCAGCAGUAGGGAAUCUUCCACAAUGGACGAAAGUCUGAUGGAGCAACGCCGCGUGAGUGAUGAAGGUUUUCGGAUCGUAAAACUCUGUUGUAAGGGAAGAACACGUACGAGAGGGAAUGCUCGUACCUUGACGGUACCUUACGAGAAAGCCACGGCUAACUACGUGCCAGCCGCCGCCGUAAUAC